rnacentral:rRNA from 1 species
AGAGUUUGAUCCUGGCUCAGGACGAACGCUGGCGGCGUGCCUAACACAUGCAAGUCGAACGGGGUGAUUUCCUUCGGGAGAUCACUUAGUGGCGAACGGGUGAGUAACGCGUGAGGAACCUGCCUUUCAGUGGGGGACAACAGUUGGAAACGACUGCUAAUACCGCAUAAUGUAGCGAGACCGCAUGAUCUUGCUACCAAAGCUUUAUGUGCUGAAAGAUGGCCUCGCGUCUGAUUAGCUAGUUGGUGGGGUAACGGCCCACCAAGGCGACGAUCAGUAGCCGGUCUGAGAGGAUGAACGGCCACAUUGGGACUGAGAUACGGCCCAGACUCCUACGGGAGGCAGCAGUGGGGAAUAUUGGGCAAUGGGGGAAACCCUGACCCAGCAACGCCGCGUGAAGGAAGAAGGCCUUCGGGUUGUAAACUUCUUUUACCAGGGACGAAGAACGUGACGGUACCUGGAGAAAAAGCAACGGCUAACUACGUGCCAGCAGCCGCGGUAAUACGUAGGUUGCAAGCGUUGUCCGGAUUUACUGGGUGUAAAGGGCGUCUAGGCGGAGAUGCAAGUUGGGAGUGAAAUCCCGGGGCUCAACCCCGGAACUGCUUUCAAAACUGCAUCCCUUGAGUAUCGGAGAGGCAAGCGGAAUUCCUAGUGUAGCGGUGAAAUGCGUAGAUAUUAGGAGGAACACCAGAGGCGAAGGCGGCUUGCUGGACGACAACUGACGCUGAGGCGCGAAAGCGUGGGGAGCAAACAGGAUUAGAUACCCUGGUAGUCC